AUGAACGCUGGCGGCGUGCUUAACACAUGCCAGUCGAACGGAAAGGCUCCUGCUUGCAGGGGUACUCGAGUGGCGAACGGGUGAGUAACACGUGGGUGAUCUGCCCUGCACUUCGGGAUAAGCCUGGGAAACUGGGUCUAAUACCGGAUAGGACGAUGGUUUGGAUGCCAUUGUGGAAAGUUUUUCGGUGUGGGAUGAGCUCGCGGCCUAUCAGCUUGUUGGUGGGGUAAUGGCCUACCAAGGCGUCGACGGGUAGCCGGCCUGAGAGGGUGUACGGCCACAUUGGGACUGAGAUACGGCCCAGACUCCUACGGGAGGCAGCAGUGGGGAAUAUUGCACAAUGGGCGCAAGCCUGUUGCAGCGACGCCGCGUGGGGGAUGACGGCCUUCGGGUUGUAAACUCCUUUCGCUAGGGACGAAGCGCAAGUGACGGUACCUGGAGAAGAAGCACCGGCUAACUACGUG
rnacentral:rRNA from 1 species